rnacentral:rRNA from 1 species
GUGAGGAAUAUUGGUCAAUGGGCGAAAGCCUGAACCAGCCAAGUAGCGUGCAGGACGACGGCCCUAUGGGUUGUAAACUGCUUUUAUAGGGGAAUAAAGUUAUCCACGUGUGGAUAUUUGCAUGUACCCUAUGAAUAAGGACCGGCUAAUUCCGUGCCAGCAGCCGCGGUAAUACGGAAGGUCCGGGCGUUAUCCGGAUUUAUUGGGUUUAAAGGGAGCGUAGGCGGUAUAUUAAGCGUGUUGUGAAAUGUAGGUGCUCAACAUCUGACUUGCAGCGCGAACUGGUUUACUUGAGUACGCACAACGUAGGCGGAAUUCGUCGUGUAGCGGUGAAAUGCAUAGAUAUGACGAAGAACUCCGAUUGCGAAGGCAGCUUACGGGAGCGCAACUGACGCUGAAGCUCGAAAGUGCGGGUAUCGAACAGG